rnacentral:lncRNA from 1 species
GACGGAGGAGGGGUAGGGGUGGGGGAGCCUGGAGGGAAGAAGCCUUGUGAUGAAAAGUGGGGAGGUGGACAGUCUGUAUAUAUCCUAGAGACCUGGCCCAGGGCUGCCCAGAGGGGUUCUUCUGCCUAGUGAGCCAGCCUCUCUUGGGAGCGACUUCACCAUGAGGCACCGGUCAGGACCAUCAGCACCAGGAAGUCAUCCUGGACCAGGAGGAAAGUGAAGAUGAAGGCAGAGGGAGAGGCACUCUGAGGAUGAGCCAGUGGAAGCAACUGGAAGCAGAUGAGGUCCACGUGGAGGACUGUGAUUUUGGAAUUUCUGUUUCUCGGGAUUAUUAGUGCUCUGGUGCAUGGCUGCAACAAGGGCUGCUGCUUUUGGCUUGGUGGAGGGCCUGGAACCCCCAUUAGAAAACCAGAGUCCCCAGAGCCUCCAGGACAUUGUUUCUAAGGACAAAGCCAACCAGAGGAGAAAAAGGGGUCUGCUGGGGGCAUCCAAGGGGCGAGCUGCGUUUCUUCUUGUUAAAACCCAGCCCUCGCCUUGUCUCUCCAUCAUUCACCCUCUCUUGCUCCUGAAUGCCCCUACUGCCCACAGUGACUCCUGGCAUGUCUGUUUCCCCCGGUGCAGGAGGGGCAUAAAAAGCGCAGAACUGUACGGGCAUCGUCAAGCUGCUCAUAUCACUAUGGCUUUGGGGAAGCGAAGUGGGAUGAGGCUGAUACAUUCACACAAGAGUCUGUCUUCAGAGGGGUGACAUCUUCAGUGUGGUCUUCUCCCCUUUCCUUUUCUCCGUGCAUUUUCCCCUUCUUCCUCCUUCUGUCCUCCGCUCACCCCUGGACUUUCUUUCCUCCGACUGCCCGUGGGCUUGCAGUCAGUCCGCUGGGCCUUGAAGUGCUGUUUUGUGCCCCACGCUGGGGAGGUGGAUUUCAAGCAGAAUUCUGACUCUUUGGGGUGGGUGGGUGGGUUGGGAACUGGGGGAAAUUCGGGAUCCAGAGAUCCCUCAAGAGGAGUGUCUGUAAGUAUUUGUGCCUGAACAGUUGCUGUUUCUCUCCAAAGCGGAACCUUUCCAGUGUCUUUCCAUUCUGAUUUCAUCAGGGAGAAAGUCUCAAUAAAGUUCCAAUCUCUCUUUAACACCUCGUA